ACACAACCUCUCAAAAGCUAGCCCCACCCUCCCCAAAAUCAACAAAACAACAUUAAUAAACCCACAACCACAUACACCACAAAACAAAUCAUUUUUCCCCCUUAGUAUGGGUGACAAAAAAGGAACAAGGCGCCAUAGAAAAAGUACCGCAAGGGAAUGCUGAAAGAGAAAUGAAAAAACCCAGUAAAGAGCAAAAAAGUAGAGAUACUUACUCGUACCUUUUGCAUCAUGAACUAGUUAGUAAAUAUCAAGCAAAGUGUACUUUAGUUUGAAACCCCGAAACUUGGCGAGCUACUCCAAGACAGCCUAUUAUAGGGCCAACCCGUCUCUGUGGCAAAAGAGUGGGAAGAUCUUAGAGUAGAGGUGACAGACCUACCGAGCCUAGUUAUAGCUGGUUGCCUACAAAAUGAAUAGAAGUUCAGCCUCUCAAUUUCUUUACUCCUCCCUGGUUAACACCACAAAGUGACAACAAGAAAACAAGAUGGUUAUUCAAAGGGGGAACAGCCCCUCUGAACAAAGACACAACUUUAAUAGGAGGCAAAAGAUCAAAAGACCAUAAAGCAUGUACCUCGGUGGGCCUAAAAGCAGCCAACCCCAUAGAAAGCGUUAAAGCUCAAGUACCCUGCCACUUAUAAUCAAGACACCACUAUCUUAAGCCCCUUUAUAUAUUAGUAGGCCUUUCCAUGCAAACAUGGAAAAGACAAUGCUAGCAUGAGUAAUCAGAGGAGCAAGAUCCUCUCCUGGCACCUGUUUACACCAGAACGAACAUGCACUGAAAAUUAACGCCCCCAAUGAAAGAGGGCCCUGAGAAAUGUUAGAAUAACCAAGAAAUACUCUCAAAACAAAAGCGUUAACCCGACACAGGAGUGCCAAAGGAAAGACUAAAAGAAAAAAGAAGGAACUCGGCAAACACUGGCCUCGCCUGUUUACCAAAAAACAUCGCCUCUUGCAAUUAGGCAUAUAAGAGGUCCCGCCUGCCCUGUGACUCAGUAGUUUAACGGCCGCGGUAUUUUGACCGUGCGAAGGUAGCGUAAUCACUUGUCUUUUAAAUGAAGACCUGUAUGAAUGGCAUAACGAGGGCUAAGCUGUCUCCUUUUUCCAGUCAAUGAAAUUAAUCUUCCCGUGCAGAAGCGGGAAUUUAAGCAUAAGACGAGAAGACCCUAUGGAGCUUCAGACAAAAGGCAGCUCAUGUUAAAAUAACUAGAUAAACAAAACAAAUUAAGUGAUCCCUGCCCUCAUGUUUUUGGUUGGGGCGACCGCGGGGAACAAAAAUCCCCCAUGUGGAAUAGGAAUCUUUCCUCAAGACCAGAGCCACAGCUCUAAUAAGCAGAAUUUCUGACCAACAAGACCCGGCAAAGCCGAUCAACGGACCGAGUUACCCUAGGGAUAACAGCGCAAUCCCCUUUUAGAGCCCAUAUCGACAAGGGGGUUUACGACCUCGAUGUUGGAUCAGGACAUCCUAAUGGUGCAGCCGCUAUUAAGGGUUCGUUUGUUCAACGAUUAAAGUCCUACGUGAUCUGAGUUCAGACCGGAGUAAUCCAGGUCAGUUUCUAUCUAUGUAAUGCUCUUUUCUAGUACGAAAGGACCGAAAAGAGGAGGCCAAUGCCACAGGCACGCCUCACUCCCACCUGCUGAAUACAGCUAAAAUAGGUAAAGGGGCAUAUCCCCAAUGCCUGAGAAAAAAAAGGCAA
rnacentral:rRNA from 1 species